UACGUAGGGUGCAAGCGUUAAUCGGAAUUACUGGGCGUAAAGCGUGCGCAGGCGGUUAUAUAAGACCGUUGUGAAAUCCCCGGGCUCAACCUGGGAACUGCAUCUGUGACUGUAUAGCUAGAGUACGGUAGAGGGGGAUGGAAUUCCGCGUGUAGCAGUGAAAUGCGUAGAUAUGACAUAGAACACCCAUUGCGAAGGCAGCUAACUACGCGAUAAUUGACGCUGAUGCACGAAAGCGUGGGGAUCAAACAGG
rnacentral:rRNA from 1 species